rnacentral:piRNA from 1 species
AAGAUGCGGGAGCUCCUCGAACGAG